UGAUGAAAUCGAUGGUACCUUUUUCUGUUAUGAGACAUCAGUGGGGUCUUCAUUAGUUGAGGUCAUCGAAGGUUGUUUUCUCCUUCUAUCUCCAUGAGAAUCUUCACAUGAGUAGUGAGAGGGGUGUAAGAGUCAUAUCUAUACCCAUAAGUUCUUCGGGUUUGAACUCUGUCGGUGAGGUGGGGCAUCUCUAUCAGUUC
rnacentral:lncRNA from 1 species